rnacentral:ncRNA from 1 species
AAUUUCAAGGAAAAACGUUUUUGCUGGUAAGGAAUUUUUCUGCCACGUAUUCGAAAAAAUCAUUAUGGUAGUUAUGAUUCCUUAGAUCGUUAAGAGUUAGCUGGAUAAACGUGAUUAUUCUAAAGCUAACACAUGGAACCAAUGGAACGUGUGCUUUUAUUGGACUACAAUCAAGCGUCAUUUUUGGUCGUAUACUGAUUGAAAUCUAGAGAACUUGCGGAUCCCUUGAUCUUGUCUUUACGACAGAUCGGCGAUCGGUAGUACUUAGGACUAUCAUGGUUGCAACGGGUAAGCAAGAAUUGCAAUUCGAUUCCGCAAAUGGAGCCCGAGAAACCAAUCUAAGGAAAGCAGCAGGCGCGUAAAUUAUCCACUCCCAGCAAUAGACGCCUUGUAAUUUGGGAAUGAGUGCGCUUUAAAUCCUUUAGCAAGCACCUAUGGGGUGAGGGCAGGUCUGGUGCCAACAGCCGCCCUAACUCCAGCUUCAAUAGCUUAUGUUGAAGUUGUUGCGUUUAAAAUGUUCGUAGUUGAGCUUGCACUUCAUACGCGUAGUACAGCGACAAUUACAGUUUAUGCUAUACCUUGUGUGUGUAAGUGUGUUACCGGUGAAGUUUUUAUAUGCAACUGCAAUACUUGGACUCUUUGCAUAUUCCUCCUAUUUAGGCUUUCUUUAAACUUACAGUAGUACUGCCUUUCAGGGCAAAUCGGAAGAAGUUAAUGUCUUCGGUGUGGGUUUUCACCCGAGAAAAUGCUGCAUUGUGUACAACGAGCUGACCAAUCUAGUUAUUGAAAACGCAGCUUAAUGAUCAUUA